rnacentral:rRNA from 1 species
AACGUAGGGGACAAGCGUUAUCCGGAUUUACUGGGCGUAAAGCGCCCGUAGGCGGCCUGACAAGUUGGACGUGAAAGCUCCUGGCUUAAACUGGGAGAGGCCGUUCAAAACUGUCAAGCUAGAGUCUGGAAGAGGAGAGCGGAAUUCCCGGUGUAGUGGUGGAAUGCGUAGAGAUCGGGAGGAACACCAGUGGCGAAAGCGGCUCUCUGGUCCAAAACUGACGCUGAGGGGCGAAAGCGUGGGGAGCGAACGGG